UACGGAGGGUGCAAGCGUUAUCCGGAUUCACUGGGUUUAAAGGGUGCGUAGGUGGGUUGGUAAGUCCGUGGUGAAAUCUCCGAGCUUAACUCGGAAACUGCCGUGGAUACUAUCAAUCUUGAAUACUGUGGAGGUAAGCGGAAUAUGUCAUGUAGCGGUGAAAUGCUUAGAUAUGACAUAGAACACCGAUUGCGAAGGCAGCUCACUACACGAACAUUGACUCUGAGGCACGAAAGCGUGGGGAUCAAACAGG
rnacentral:rRNA from 1 species